rnacentral:rRNA from 1 species
UACGUAGGGUGCGAGCGUUUGUCCGGAAUUAUUGGGCGUAAAGGGCUCGUAGGCGGUUUGUCACGUCAGGAGUGAAAACUCGGGGCUUAACCCCGAGCCUGCUUCUGAUACGGGCAGACUAGAGGUAUGCAGGGGAGAACGGAAUUCCUGGUGUAGCGGUGAAAUGCGCAGAUAUCAGGAGGAACACCGGUGGCGAAGGCGGUUCUCUGGGCAUUACCUGACGCUGAGGAGCGAAAGUGUGGGGAGCGAACAGG